CUGGCGCCGACGCUGACACACAGCGGACACUGUGUUGAUUAAGGCAGCUACCUGGGGAGGGUGGCAGCUGACCCCGGCGACGCAGGGAUUCCACAUGCGAGUCAAAUCACAUGCCAUUUGUCUCUGACCCUUCACUCAGUGCAACGUUCUCUAGGGCCACCCAUGUCAUUGCAGAUGGAAGAUUUCAUUCUUUUUUAUGGUCCAUGCGGCUCUAUCUGAAGUGAGUCUCCUAGGCAGCAUAGAAUGGAGCUGUUCUGACUGGUCAGUUAAGAUGUUGCAGGCUUACCUGUGCAGCUCUGAUUGGCUGAGAAAAUCCUCACUCCGAUUGGUUGAAACCCGAUCCCAGGAGCUCCUCUUAUAUAGGCUGUUCAGGCGGUAGCAACCCAGGGGGUUCACAGUGUGAAGGGUACAUCACUCAUUAGGAUGCCUGACACCAGCGACCGAAUGACCAACUGCAUUCCGUGCACUGCACUCUGCCCUGCGGAGGAGUGAGAGGGACCCGAGAGGCGGGAGAGCGCUGUGUUUUCCCACGACAGACACCCCUCAGUGAGCAGCCGAGGCCCACCUAAGCGGUCGGUCGCUUCUAGCACCAGCGCUCUUGUCCCUUCGUUACACCAGGAAACCCUAAAUGCUCUGCUUUUAUUGUGUGGCCCCACCGCCUCGUGCCCCGCCAGAAGCAGUGCGCAGGCUGCCAGGGGCGUUGGACUUGUAACUAAUGUGCGCAGCUGGUAACCCUCCCCUCCGGCCUCCCUGCUCUGCUCUCCUGCCCACCGCCGACUGCACCGCUUCCGGCCGAGUGACAGGGCUCGUUUCCCUGCGUUCCUGAACCGGCCUCUGACAUCAUUUCAUUAUUCCAGGCCUGGGAGUCACCUCGACAAACCCAGGUCCUGCACAUUCUGCAGCUCCAGGCUAUUCCCACCUGUGAACACCAGGUGGUAACAACGCUGCCUUGCACGCUGUCCUACAAACCUUUCUGUGGAGACGUCUUCACUCCUCUUGCGUGUGGCACAGAGGAGUGGAACUGCUUGGUCUAGGCUUGGGGAGUGUUGACUUCGUGAGAAACUGCCCAGUUUCCCAAGUGACUGCACCGCUGUGCCCUCCCACCAGCUGCCCUACCACCCGGGGCUCACCCCAGGCACCACCACCGGGCUCCCCGUAUUCUUUCCCCCUUUACCGAAGGU